UGCAAGUCGAGCGAACUGAUUAGAAGCUUGCUUCUAUGACGUUAGCGGCGGACGGGUGAGUAACACGUGGGCAACCUGCCUGUAAGACUGGGAUAACUCCGGGAAACCGGAGCUAAUACCGGAUAACAUUUUNUCUUGCAUAAGAGAAAAUUGAAAGAUGGUUUCGGCUAUCACUUACAGAUGGGCCCGCGGUGCAUUAGCUAGUUGGUGAGGUAACGGCUCACCAAGGCAACGAUGCAUAGCCGACCUGAGAGGGUGAUCGGCCACACUGGGACUGAGACACGGCCCAGACUCCUACGGGAGGCAGCAGUAGGGAAUCUUCCGCAAUGGACGAAAGUCUGACGGAGCAACGCCGCGUGAGUGAUGAAGGCUUUCGGGUCGUAAAACUCUGUUGUUAGGGAAGAACAAGUACAAGAGUAACUGCUUGUACCUUGACGGUACCUAACCAGAAAGCCACGGCUAACUACGUGCCAGCAGCCGCGGUAAUACGUAGGUGGCAAGCGUUAUCCGGAAUUAUUGGGCGUAAAGCGCGCGCAGGCGGUUUCUUAAGUCUGAUGUGAAAGCCCACGGCUCAACCGUGGAGGGUCAUUGGAAACUGGGGAACUUGAGUGC
rnacentral:rRNA from 2 species